rfam:Auricularia subglabra TFB-10046 SS5 ATRDEscaffold_64_Cont1827, whole genome shotgun sequence.
UCUCUUGUGCUCGGGCAAGUACUGUCGACAGUGAGGGCAACCGAGUCGCAGUCUUUUGCUAGUUGCAAAUUAAUUUCCGUACACUUCGGUUGGCUUAUGCCUUCCGGGACUUUUUGGAAACCUUCCUU